CCCCCCACAAUGGUAGGCACCUAGAAACAGGGACUACAUGUUAUUUCUCUUAUAGUGUUACAUUGGUCAGCGGAGUAUCUCUUGAGCAGACGCUUAUUUAUAAUUUUUACUUGUCCGGCAACCAGAAAUGUGUGAACUCAUUUUGAACAAUGGCUUCCAACCCCUGCUGAGAUGAAAAUGACAAAAUCACAGUGAUUGGACUGACCACUCAUAUAUAAAGAUUGCAGGUGUCACUUCUGUCAUCACUAUGAACAUCAAAACUGCUCACCAGCGAUUUAAUGGACUUCUCCGAGACACUAUCCUGAACAUGCAUAUAUCAAAGAAUUCUGAGCAUUUUAUAUUCCAAGGUAGAAAUUUACAUGAGUUGACAAUACAUUUAGAAAUGAGAAGCUACUGUUUCCUCCCAUCUUCAGUGCCAGUUUACAUCGACAAAAGAAAAAAUUAAAGAAAAUUGAGAUUUCCUUUAAUAAAUACAUAUUACCAACUUUUUCUCAUA